rnacentral:sRNA from 1 species
AAAUCUUAGGAAAUCUCCCAAUCUUCUAUAAACUUGAUAAACUCCCUGUAAGAUUCUGUAGCUUCUGUUGGUCGCGUAAAAUGAUGAUUUUCAAUUUUUUGGGUUUUAAACAUCCCUCGUACUCGACCAAUGUACUCGAUCUCUAGGCCGUCUGUAGAGUAAAAGUUUUGAAUUUUUACUCUAGCUUCACGUUAUUCCUCUAUUCCUGAGAACCAUAAACACAACUAA